rnacentral:rRNA from 1 species
UUCCGGUUGAUCCCGCCGGAGGCUACCGCUAUUGGAGUUCGAUUAAGCCAUGCGAGUCGAGAGUCUUAGGGACUCGGCGCACCGCUCAGUAACACGUGGGUAACCUGCCCUAUGCUUGGGAGUAACCUCGGGAAACUGAGAAUAAUGCCCAAUAGUCCACUACGCCUGGAACGGUGAGUGGAUCAAAGCCCCGGCGGCAUAGGAUGGGCCUGCGCCGUAUCAGGUUGUAGGGGGUGUAAAGUACCCUCUAGCCAUCAACGCGUACGGGUGUUGGGAGACAUUGCCCGGAGAUGGAUUCUGAGGCACGAAUCCAGACCCUACGGGGUGCAGCAGGCGCGAAAACUUGGCAAUGCGAGCAAUCGUGACCAGGGAACUCCAAGUGCGUAGGGUAAGACCUACGCUUUUCUUGACUCUACAAAGGUCUUGGAAUAAGGGGUGGGUAAGGACGGUGCCAGCCGCCGCGGUAAUACCGGCGCCUCAAGUGGUAGUCGCUUUUAUUGGGCCUAAAACGUCCGUAGCCGGUCUGGUGCAUUCGUGGGUAAAUCAACCCGCUCAACGGGUUGAAUUCUGCGAGCACGGCCAGACUUGGGACCGGGAGAGGUGUGGGGUACUUUCGGGGUAGGGGUAAAAUCCUGUCAUCCCGAAAGACACUGU